rnacentral:rRNA from 1 species
CCGCAAGGCUGAAACUCAAAGGAAUUGACGGGGGCCCGCACAAGCGGAGGAACAUGUGGUUUAAUUCGAUGAUACGCGAGGAACCUUACCUGGGCUUAAAUGUAGAGUGCAUUGGAGGGAAACUUUCAUUUUCUUCGGAACUCUUUACAAGGUGCUGCAUGGUUGUCGUCAGCUCGUGCCGUGAGGUGUCGGGUUAAGUCCCAUAACGAGCGCAACCCUUAUCGUUAGUUGCCAGCGGGUAAUGCCGGGAACUCUAGCGAAACUGCCGGUGUAAACCGAGAGGAAGGUGGGGAUGACGUCAAAUCAGCACGGCCCUUAUGUCCAGGGCUACACACGUGUUACAAUGGCCGGUACAGAGGGGAGCUAUGCUGUGAGGCAAUGCAAAUCUCAAAAGCCGGUCUCAGUUCGGAUCGGAGUCUGCAACCCGACUCCGUGAAGCUGGAUUCGCUAGUAAUCGCGCAUCAGCCAUGGCGCGGUGAAUACGUUCCCGGGCCUUGUACACACCGCCCGU